rnacentral:misc_RNA from 1 species
UCUCCGUUGGUGAACCAGCGGAGGGAUCAUUACAAGACUCUCAAGACUCCUACAACCCUGUGAACUUAACUAUAAGCACGUUGCUUCGGCGGGUGUCUCGGAGGGGGUUCUACCUCCCCCAUCCGCUAAACCCGCCGGCCGCCUACUAUACUCUGUCUCUUUUCGUUUUCAUCUCGAGUACAAUCAAACAAGUUAAAACUUUCAACAACGGAUCUCUUUUUUCAGUCAUCGAUGAAACACUCAACAAAGCGGCAGAGCAAACGCGUGAACUCCAGUCAC